GAAGUCGGUCAGGCAGCCGCUGGGCAAGAGGUGAAAACCUGGCGCCGAGAGGAAAGUCCGGGCUCCACAGAGCAGGAUGCCGGCUAACGGCCGGGCACCGCGAGGUGACGGAAAGUGCAACAGAAAACAAACCGCCGACGCCUGCGUUCGGAUCAACGACGGGGCGGGUAAGGGUGAAACGGCGAGGUAAGAGCUCACCGCGGCCGUGGUAACACGGACGGCACGGCAAACCCCAUCUGGAGCAAGGCCAAAUAGGGAAGCAUGGGCGUGGCUCGCGCUGCUUCCGGGUAGGC
rnacentral:RNase_P_RNA from 1 species